ensembl:lncRNA
UGCAUGUGUGGGUGGGUAGGUGUGUGUGUGUGUGUGUGUGUGUGUGCGCUCGGUUGUGUGUGGGUGUGUGUGCGUGGUUAUUUAUUGCAGUCAUGUGACCAGGCCCUGGUUUCCCCAUGUUCCUCCACUUUAAUUAACAAACCUCAAUAACUUCAUUGCCUGACUGAUCGACUGGCGGCUGUGUGUGUGUGUAUUUGUGUUCAUGCGCACAGGUGUGUUUGUGUGCCUGCGUGCAUGUGUGAGUGUAAUUGACCAGUCAAUCUCAGUGUGAGAGUGUCUUGAGGUAGACGGAGUAUAAAUACUUAGCAAGCAGAUGGAGGCAUUUUUUUUCAAACACACUUGUAAGUACAACACAAAACUAAGAUGUUUGAAUAUGUAUCCUAAUUUUCAUGUGAUUUUUCGGCUGCAUGUGAAUAAAACCAGUAUUUGUUGGUUUCCAUGGUGAUUUGGAGACUUCAACUUCCUAGUGAUUGGGCACUGUUAGGAUAGAAAGGUAAGGUUUAGGUGUGUUUGGAUUGGCUUAGCAGAUUCUCAGAUUCAACUUCAUUGUGUAUUCUUUGACUUUAUUCAUAAGUGUCAUUCUUAAGUCUCAAGGUCUUUGUGCCCUUUCCGUAUCUGCGAGUGUAUGUGAAUCUUUUUCUGCAAGUGUGUGCAUGUGUGCAUGUGUGCAUGUGUGCAAGUGUGUGCAUGUGUGUGUGUGUGCAUGUGUGCAUGUGUGCAUGUGUGCAUGUGUGUGUGUGUCAGAUGUGUAGCUUUGCGAGUAGCGGCAAAAGUAAUCAUGCUUCCCUCACUCUGCAUUUUUAUGACUGGAACGGACAGAAAACAGCCUACGCAUCAAUCCUGUACUUAAUUUUCAGGCUUAGCCUAACCGUGUGUGUAUGUAUGCAUGCGUCUCUGUGUGUGUGUGUGAAGUGUUGUCAUUCUGAGAGGGAUGAAUAGUAGACAGACAGUCGUAAAAAAAGGAGGAGAGGAUGAAGUGACUAUCUGUCUGUCUCUGUCUGUCUCUGUCUCUCUCUCUCUGUCUCUGUCGCUCUCUGUCUCUCUCUGUCUCACUCAGCCCACCACGCCAAUUAGCAACAUAAGACAAUCUCUCCUUUACAUGUAUACAGUCACAUUAUCCACCCAUUCUAAAUACCUAAAUAGCAUCAUGGCCCCCCUACCAGUGCAAAUGAAUGAAACAAAGAUGCGUUUUUGUGCAGCAGGACGAUCAACUCCCUGUACCUAGCCAUCUGCAGCCGGCCCAGCGCAGCAGGGAGCAGGGAAACGAGGUCAGGCAGUCUUUUGAAGCAGGGAAGCUGUGGGAAGACAAGGCACCACGCAGAGACUGGAAUACUCACAUGAAAGGCAAUCAACAGAAAUAGCCAAACACUGUGUUAGAUAAUGCAGACUGGGCUGAGGAAAAGGGAAUGAGAGAAUGAGAAAUAAUAGGGAAUGAGAGAAUGAGAAAUAAGGGUUAGGGAAUAAUAAUGCAUCCCAAAAGCCACCCUAUUCACUAUAUAUACCAGCCCUGGUAAAAAGUAUAGCACUAUGAAGAGAAUAGGGUGCCAUUUGGGAUGCACAUCUGUUGACUGGUUGUAGUGGAAUGGGUUGGGCAGGCAUGGGUCUCCUAGGCACAUUUUGGGCAGAGGUGACUGGACUCAAUCAGUGACGAAUGAUCAAUGAAGUUGAAUGGAAUCAUCAAUUAAAGGAGAAAUGAAAUCCCACAGAUGAUGGGGCCAUGCAGUAUAAAGUUCUAGGAGAGGAAGAAAAACAGAAAUAGGAAACAAUGGUUGAAGUGCAGUUGAAAGGUACAGGGGGGAGAAUGAACAGAAUGUGGAGGAGAGAGAAAGUGAAGAGGAGAGAGAAAGUGAAGAGGAGAGAGAAAGUGAAGAGGAGAGAGAAAAUAAAGAGGAGAGAGAAAGUAAAGAGGAGAGAGAAAGUAAAGAGGUUAGAGAAAGUGAAGUGGAGAGAGAAAGUGAAGUGGAGAGAGAAAGUGAAGAGGAGAGAGAAAGUGAAGAGGUUAGAGAAAGUGAAGUGGAGAGAGAAAGUGAAGAGGUUAGAGAAAGUGAAGUGGAGAGAGAAAGUGAAGUGGAGAGAGAAAGUGAAGAGGAGAGAGAAAGUGAAGAGGAGAGAGAAAGUGUAGAGGAGAGAGAAAGUGAAGAGGAGAGAGAAAGUGAAGAGGAGAGAGAAAGUGAAGAGGAGAGAGAAAGUGAAGAGGAGAGAGAAAGUGAAGAGGAGAGAGAAAGUGAAGAGGAGAGAGAAAGUGAAGAGGAGAGAGAAAGUGAAGAGGAGAGAGAAAGUGAAGAGGAGAGAGAAAGGGAGAAAGAUGAUUUGAUAUAGAAAGCGAGAAACUGAGAGAGAGAUGAUGUAUAGGAAAGAAGAGAGAGGGAAAUGGGAAGAGGAGAGGAUCGGAUAGGGAAAAAGAGAGAGAGAAAGGGGAAGAGGAGAGGAUAGGAUAGGGAAAAAGGGAGAGGGAAAGGGGAAGAGGAGAGGAUAGGAUAGGGAAAAAGGGAGAGGGAAAGGGGAAGAGGAGAGGAUAGGAUAGGAAAGAAGAGAGAGGGAAAGGGGAAGAGGAGAGGAUAGGAUAGGGAAAAAGGGAGAGGGAAAGGGGAAG